CCGAGGCAGCUGCGCUGUUUCCAUUCUAAAUCGGCUGGGCAUAGAUGGAGUAGCGCUCAGCAACACGCUUCUCGCGUUGGUUGAGAGAAAAGCGAAAAUGACGUCACCCGGGCUGUUUGACGCUGCGCGUGCGUGCCGGCUAGCAAGAAAGAAGCAGUUCAAAAGGAAGGACAACACUUCCCUUUUGAGGCACGCGCUAUCUGGGCUGCUCCCUAUGCAAAGCCGAUACAGGCCUGCUUCUUCGGCAGAAAUCCAUUCCGAGGAAAGCGCAACAGGACACCUUGGCGCUCCGACCUAGUCGACUCGCUUUCGCUUUUGUCCACGCGCGCAGCCUUUUGUCGAAAUGGAGACGCGCGUGCUCGCGCCUAUAUUUUUAGUACGUUUUCUUCUCAGACGCAUACUAUACGCAUACUAUACGUGGUCAUGGGGCGAGACGUAUGCGAGCAUCUGCGUCGCAGCUGCUACCUCCGCUAAAGCCGCGAGGUGUGUGUGCCGAUCGACCGCGUUAGCCUCUUCCUAGUGCGAACGCCAAGGCAAGGGGACGCAGACACGCCGGCGAGAUGCCUCAAAAGUGGCAACUGGUGUCUGGCCAACACCAGAAGAGAAACUCGUCAAUAAGAAAGGUCACGUGGUGCGUGCCGCAGCCGUGGAGCUUGUUAUUCUUUGGCAGUUUUACGAAAGAAAAAAAAAAAAGAGUUAACAAUAAAAUCACCACAGGCACGGCACAUGCGAAGAGUGAAAAUGCGCGAUUCGAAGGAACCAGCAAGCAACCUCGAGCCUCACAGUGUGAAAACCAUUUUGAAUGGACAUGAUGUUGAUAUCUAUUUCACACACCUGACAUCUCAUGCAGCUCAAGCAAAUGUACGUAGACUUGCUCGUGCGAGCGGUUUUUCAGUGUUCAGAGGUGCUAAUCAAGCUUCCCACGACGCAACAGAGACGGGUUCAGCACCAAGUAUUCGUGUGGCCUGAGUGUACUGAAACCAAUAAGAACGAUUCUGGGA